rnacentral:rRNA from 1 species
UGAAGAACUCUGGAAUGAGUCUUUGCCAAAAAGACGUUUACGUUAUGCUCGUAGGCGUCGCCCAAGGAUGAGGCCGCGACCGAUCAGGUUGUUGGUGAGGUAAUGGCUCACCAAGCCUUUUACCGGUGCGGGCCGUGAGAGCGGGAGCCCGGAGAUGGGCACUGAGACAAGGGCCCAGGCCCUACGGGGCGCAGCAGUCGCGAAAACUUUGCAAUACACGAAAGUGUGACAGGGCUAUCCCGAGUGCCAUCCGCUGAGGAAGGCUUUUACCCAGUCUAGAACGCUGGGGGAAUAAGGAGAGGGCAAGUCUGGUGUCAGCCGCCGCGGUAAUACCAGCUCUCCGAGUGGUGUGGAUGUUUAUUGGGCCUAAAGCAUCCGUAGCUGGCUAAGUUAGUCCCCUGUUAAAUCCACCGAAUUAAUCGUUGGAUUGCGGGGGAUACUGCUUGGCUAGGGGACGAGAGAGGCAGACGGUAUUUCCGGGGUAGGGGUGAAAUCCUAUAAUCCCGGGAAGACCACCAGUGGCGAAGGCUGUCUGCUAGAACGCGCCCGACGGUGAGGGAUGAAAGCUGGGGGAGCGAACCGGAUUAGAUACCCGGGUAGUCCCAGCUGUAAACGAUGCAGGCUAGGUGUUUGGACGGCCACGUGCCGUUCUAGUGCCGCAGGGAAGCUGUUAAGCCUGCCGCCUGGGGAGUACGAUCGCAAGAUUGAAACUUAAAGGAAUUGGCGGGGGAGCACCACAAGGGGUGAAGC